AGCGAACGCUGGCGGCAGGCCUAGCACAUGCAAGUCGAACGAACCUUUCGGGGUUAGUGGCGUACGGGUGAGUAACACGUGGGAACGUGCCUUUAGGUUCGGCAUAACUCAGGGAAACUUGUGCUAAUACCGAAUGUGCCCUUCGGGGGAAAGAUUUAUCGCCUUUAGAGCGGCCCGCGUCUGAUUAGCUAGUUGGUUGAGGUAAUGGCUCACCAAGGCGACGAUCAGUAGCUGGUCUGAGAGGAUGAUCAGCCACAUUGGGACUGAGACACGGCCCAAACUCCUACGGGAGGCAGCAGUGGGGAAUCUUGCGCAAUGGGCGAAAGCCUGACGCAGCCAUGCCGCGUGAAUGAUGAAGGUCUUAGGAUUGUAAAAUUCUUUCACCGGGGACGAUAAUGACGGUACCCGGAGAAGAAGCCCCGGCUAACUUCGUG
rnacentral:rRNA from 1 species